ACAGAGAAAAUUCUCAAGGUGUGAAUUUUCAGGGAAAGUAACUUGAGUAAAGUGCAGUAAAACUCGCACAUAUAAUUACUGAUGAAUCAGCUAAUAACAGACAAAGUGUCGAUGACAUAAGUGAUUUAUUCAUGAAAAUCAGUUGGAUUCAAUAUUCAAAGUGAAGGUCUUAAGAAAUUGUCGAAUAUCGGACCAGAGGCUAAGUUAAAGGAAAGGGUCAAAGUGCUUGAUGAUGGACAAGAUCAUUUCUGUUGAAGAAAGAAGAUAUUCUGCAAAUCAACAACACACAUCCAAAAUACUUCAUAAUUGGUGGAAAGGAGGCUACAUCUAUUUCCAUUAUUUGGUUCAUUUACAUGCUCUUGAAACAUCCUGAGAUUCAAGAUACGCUUCAUGUAACUUGGAACAAAACUCUCGCGAGUCUAUCCUGCAUCUCAGUGUGAUAGGGAUACGGAGCUAAUCCAUGAUCUAGCAGACUGCAGACUCGUAUUUGGUGCAACUAGACAAAUUGAAGUUAUACGAGGAUAAGUAAUGGACAAAUGUCUCAACAAGCCACACGCGUGGACAAAUGCUAUAGGUGAGUUUUCCCAACUCUCAGGGACCCAAUUUCGUCAUCUAGAGCUCCGAUUUUGAAGUCAAUGUUUUCCCCAAUUAAGCAUUUUUAAUUAAUUUCGCUUGGUUGUAAAAAACGGCUGG